UAUCAUUCCAAUAAAUAAUUUUUUUAUCAUUGUUUUAAUUAAAAAUAACGUUCAUAUUCAAUGAAAUUAUGAUAAAACAUAUAUGGUGUUCCACUGAAAAAAGAAGUUAUUGAUGUUCAAAAUGUACAAAAUGGAAUGUAGAUAACGAACAACCUGUAUAAAAUUUAGGAAUAUUAAUAAUGGCUCAUCAUAGGACAGUCCUUGGUUAAGAUUGUGCCAACAUAAAAUCCACCCUUGAAACUGCAUUUUUAUAUCUUUGUUGUAAUUUAAUUAUAAAAAUGACCUGUGAACCACCGAAUCAGAGGCGAUGAUAAUAAAUAAUUUGGCAAAGAUCACAGUGGUUAGUGUGUCUUGAAAUCAAGAUGAAAUACGUUGUGCUAAUUUAUUGUAUUUGUUCACUCGUUUAUGUUUGUAGGUGUUCACUGAGUUGCAAUUAUUCAGAUGGUACAUACACUUGUGUAUAUAACAAUACGUAUUCGUAUACAGAGAGCCAAUAUAAAAUCACAAAGUAUCGCUGGAUAAUUACAGAAACCUACUAUACUGAAGCUGAGUUUAACGAAUGUGCCAAACACAACAAAGUCUUCUACUAUGAUGACCUAUUCGUAUAUAGGCGCAAAAGGUAUAUAUUUAAACAACGUUGCUCCAAAUGCAACAGGGAUGAAGUACGGAUCUGUCGUAACCAGUGUUACUGUAAAAAAAGAUUUAAUUUUCAUAAUUGAUUGAUAUUAAUUGAAGUAUAUAAUAUGAAUAAAACACGACAUUA